UGCUGGAUUCUUAACUGCUAGGCUCCACACCAACUGUCUUUUAAUUCCACUUUCCAGGAAUUUUUAAGUGCUCUUGUUUAUCAAAAAAUUUCAUAGCACAAAUGCUGAAGAGGAUAAUAUUCUUCAUUUUAUAUAAAAUGUCAUGAUCCUUCAGCCAACAUUAUGGAGCAACAGGUAAAGCCGCCACCUGCAAUGCAACCACCCCAUAUUGGAGCACCUAUUUUGAGCCCCAGCUGCUCUACUUACAAUCCAGAUUCCUGCUAAUGUGCCUGGAAAGGCAGUCAAAGAUGGCACAAGAACGUAGGUCCCUGGCCCCGAUGUGGGAGACCCAGAUGGAGUUCCUGGAUCCUGGCUUCAGCUCUGCCCAGACCUGGCAGUUGCAGCCAUUUGAGGAGUGGAAAGGCACAGAGAAAGAGAGAGAGCUCCUCCAUCUCCCCAGAUGCCUGCAAUAUAGCCAGGGCUGGGCCAAGCCACAGCUGAACUUCAUUCAGAUCUCCGCCAUGGUGGCAACAUCUAUUGUCUCCCACGUGUGUAUUAGCAGGAAGCUAGAAUCAGGAGUGGAGCCCAGGCACCCAGACAAAGAAACAGAGAGAGAUCUUCCAUCUGCUCCAAAUGCCUGCAACAGCCAGGAGCAGGCCAGGACAAAGCCAGCAUCCCAGAACUCAAUCCAAGCCAUCUAUCCGGGUGGCAAGGACACAAACAUCUGAGCCACCAUUAGCUGCCUCCCAUACUGUGCAUCAGCAGGAAGCUGGAUCAGAAGCAGAGAAACCAGGACUAGAACCAGGCUCAAAAGUUUCCACAAUAAAAUGUUGGAAACAACUGAAAAGCAUUUCCCUUCUUAACAUGGACCAACAGUAAAAUAUUAUCAAGCAAGAAAAUGGCAGGACCUGAGUAUAGUAUGCUACGUUUUGUGAAUAAAAACAUGUAUAUGUGUA